CCAGGCGCCGUCUUAAAUAGCCGCAGGCGGAAGCCGGGUUCUCUCUCGGCUUUAGCGCCAUCUUCGUGGACACCUCCGCGCCAUGAGAGCCAAGUGGAGGAAGAAGCGGAUGCGCAGGCUGAAGCGCAAGCGGAGGAAGAUGCGACAGAGGUCCAAGUAGAAGGCCGCGGCAGGAGGGAGCCGAACCCAACAUCCCGGAGGCUCCGCCCGACCGAGACCCCGGAGACCGCCCCGCCGGCCCGUGACCCGCGGCGCCCCCGCCCCGACCUGCUGUCCCCGCCUGGCCCAGCCUCGCGCGUGUACAAUAAAGCCUCCCGGCCGCUGUGUCGGACGGAGAGUCCAACCGC